rnacentral:rRNA from 1 species
UUGACCUCGGAUCAGGUAGGGAUACCCGCUGAACUUAAGCAUAUCAAUAAGCGGAGGAAAAGAAACCAACAGGGAUUGCCUCAGUAACGGCGAGUGAAGCGGCAAGAGCUCAAAUUUGAAAGCUGGCCCCUUCGGGGUCCGCAUUGUAAUUUGCAGAGGAUGCUUCGGGAGCGGCCCCCAUCUAAGUGCCCUGGAACGGGCCGUCAUAGAGGGUGAGAAUCCCGUCUGGGAUGGGGUGCCCGCGCCCGUGUGAAGCUCCUUCGACGAGUCGAGUUGUUUGGGAAUGCAGCUCUAAAUGGGUGGUAAAUUUCAUCUAAAGCUAAAUACUGGCCGGAGACCGAUAGCGCACAAGUAGAGUGAUCGAAAGAUGAAAAGCACUUUGAAAAGAGAGUUAAACAGCACGUGAAAUUGUUGAAAGGGAAGCGCUUGCGACCAGACUCGCUCGCGGGGUUCAGCCGGCCUUCGGGCCGGUGUACUUCCCCGCGGGCGGGCCAGCGUCGGUUUGGGCGGCCGGUCAAAGGCCCUCGGAAUGUAACGCCCCCCGGGGCGUCUUAUAGCCGAGGGUGCCAUGCGGCCAGCCCGGACCGAGGAACGCGCUUCGGCUCGGACGCUGGCAUAAUGGUCGUAA